GACGAACGCUGGCGGCGUGCUUAACACAUGCAAGUCGAACGGUGAAGCUCCAGCUUGCUGGAGUGGAUCAGUGGCGAACGGGUGAGUAACACGUGAGCAACCUGCCCCAGACUCUGGAAUAAGCGCUGGAAACGGCGUCUAAUACUGGAUACGAGAUCAAGCCGCAUGGUUAUGGUCUGGAAAGUUUUUCGGUUUGGGAUGGGCUCGCGGCCUAUCAGCUUGUUGGUGAGGUAAUGGCUCACCAAGGCGACGACGGGUAGCCGGCCUGAGAGGGCGACCGGCCACACUGGGACUGAGACACGGCCCAGACUCCUACGGGAGGCAGCAGUGGGGAAUAUUGCACAAUGGGCGAAAGCCUGAUGCAGCGACGCCGCGUGAGGGAUGACGGCCUUCGGGUUGUAAACCUCUUUUAGCAGGGAAGAAGCGAAAGUGACGGUACCUGCAGAAGAAGCACCGGCUAACUACGUG
rnacentral:rRNA from 1 species